GGAUCAAUAUGUUGGUCGUGCCUUGGUACGUACUAGUUUAUUGGUUUCUCCCUUCUGACGAACCAUGAUGUCAUUAAUUUGGUGUCAUGUGGAAUCAGAACUGUUACUUUGAAAAAAUUAGAGUGUUUAAAGCAGGCUCACGCUUGAAUACAUUAGCACGGAAUAAUGAAAUAGGACGUUUGAUUCUAUUUUGUUGGUUUCUAGGAUUGACGUA
rnacentral:rRNA from 1 species